rnacentral:piRNA from 1 species
UUGGAAGUCGUGAGUUUGGAUGUGGGGAUA